ensembl:rRNA 5S_rRNA 5S ribosomal RNA
GCUUACGGCCAUACCACCCUGAGCGUGCCUGAUCUCGUCUGAUCUCGGAAGCUAAGCAGGGUCGGGCCUGGUUAGUACUUGGAUGGGAGACCGCCUGGGAAUACCAGGUGCUGUAAGCU